AGCAUCUUCCAUUGUAGGUCUUCUACCUGUGCAGGGCUGAAGGACACAGACUUCAGGGCAGGGAGGACAGCGAGCAGCUGCGACGCGAGGGCAAAGCUAGGAUGUCAGCUGUGCCAGCUGAGGCCAGCAGGGGAGCCAACUCAGGGAAGAGACUACCAUCUUGUACCAGGUGAACGUAAGAUACUUCCCAAACAACCACUCCACGAUCAAACUACCUACCCCAAAGCACUGCAGCAAGACCUUCUUGUUGUUGAAGUUGUUUUCACUCUCAAGAUAAUGAGCUACGGAUGUUAAUACACCGAGUCUUAUG